rnacentral:rRNA from 1 species
CCCGCACAAGCGGUGGAGCAUGUGGUUUAAUUCGAUGAUACGCGAGGAACCUUACCUGGGCUCAAAUGUAUGUUGACGUAUUCUGAAAGGGAUACUUCUUCGGACAAUAUACAAGGUGCUGCAUGGUUGUCGUCAGCUCGUGCCGUGAGGUGUCGGGUUAAGUCCCAUAACGAGCGCAACCCCUAUCAUUAGUUGCCAUCAGGUCAAGCUGGGGACUCUAAUGAAACUGCCUACGCAAGUAGUGAGGAAGGUGGGGAUGACGUCAAAUCAGCACGGCCCUUACGUCCAGGGCUACACACGUGCUACAAUGGCCGGUACAAAGGGCAGCUACCUGGUGACAGGAUGCUAAUCUCAAAAGCCGGUCUCAGUUCGGAUCGGAGUCUGCAACUCGACUGCAUGAAGUUGGAAUCGCUAGUAAUCGCGGAUCAGCCAAGCCGCGGUGAAUACGUUCCCGGGCCUU